rnacentral:rRNA from 1 species
GAUGAACGCUGGCGGCGUGCCUAAUACAUGCAAGUCGAACGCAUUGUGGUUGAAAUGAUAUGAAGAACUUGUUCAGAUUUGAUUUUCAACAUUGCAAUGAGUGGCGAACGGGUGAGUAACACGUGGGAAACCUACCUCUUAGCAGGGGAUAACAUUUGGAAACAAAUGCUAAUACCGUAUAAUAAUUAAAACCGCAUGGUUUUAGUUUAAAAGAUGGUCUUGCUAUCACUAAGAGAUGGUCCCGCGGUGUAUUAGUUAGUUGGUGAGGUAAUGGCUCACCAAGACAAUGAUACAUAGCCGAGUUGAGAGACUGACCGGCCACAAUGGGACUGAGACACGGCCCAUACUCCUACGGGAGGCAGCAGUAGGGAAGUCUUCCACAAUGGACGAAAGUCUGAUGGAGCAACGCCGCGUGUGUGAUGAAGGGUUUCGGCUCGUAAACACUGUUGUAAGAGAAGAAU